rnacentral:lncRNA from 1 species
CCAUGGAGACUCAAUCAAGAACAUCUCAAAUCUCAGUUGAGUUCAGACUUCAGAGAGACGCUGCUACUGCAUCAGGUCCAGACAACGAACUUAAACUAAUUUGUUCGAAAAUACGAAUGAAAAAAGCUCAUUCCUCCAGGAUAAAUGCCCAAGAAAAAUAUAUAUAGUGAUGAGAAAAAUCGAGAGGAGAGAUUACACGCAUGCAUGACAGAGCGUAACCCACACACUACAUUGCUAGCUCGAGGCCACCUCCAGCACUGUUAUUCAGUUCAUCUCUCGGGACAGCAAGAAAAUGGAGCGCUAUACUACUAGAGUACCACUACUAGUACUACUAAGAAUCAUCAGAUACUAGCUAGAAAGAGAUAGAGAUAUACAUAUAUCUCGGACCAUGACGCCUCAAUUCCCCGCAAGCUCGCUCGCACCACCUGCACGCGCCCGCGCGCUGGCUCCGCGCCACCUUCCUCCUCGCGGAGCAAGAGCAGCCGGAGGGAGCCUGCCGCCGGCGCGCAGUGGGAGCCCAACGCCCGGCCGCUUCCGCCGGGCCUACCUCUGCGGCGGGGGGCGGUCCUCGCCUCCGUCGCCGCGCGCCGGCCGGCCGCCAUUGUUACUCCUCCACCUAGAGAUCGCGCCGGACGCCAUUGGGGCGGCAGGAAGGAGGGGGGUGUGUUGUGUGGGUGUGGGAGGGCGAGCACGGAGGAAGCAGGUCACUGAGUGAGCGAGCGAGCGAGCUGGGCAGUGAGGGAGGAGGGAGUGGCGCUUAGUUAUAGGCAGAGGGGUCACAUGGGGGGCACAGGAGAAGAAAGCGACCGUGUUUAACAAUGGUUUGCUGCGGCCAUUGAGCCAUUGAGGCAGGGAUGGGGAUGGGGAUGGGGACGGGAAGAGGGAGGCAUGUUUGUGGGGAACGCAAACCGCACUUGCACGCCUCCCGAG